AAUUAGGUGUACGUUGUUUUCUUGCCUCACUUCUUAUUUAAUUAGGAAUCAGUUUGCGGAUCAAUUACGAUGGUGCCAAAACCAUUAGAGAUAAAAAAAUAAUUACCAUGUUAUAAUCAUCAAUUAGGCCACAGACCACAUUCUUGCCAAUUAGACCAAAGCAUACACCCUACCUUUUUUGGGCGAGACACAUGCCGGCAACGCUUGAAAUCGUGCGUACACUAGUUUGCAAGAGCCUCCAUAUCAACCGUUUAGUUUGAUUCUGGGAAUUUCUUUUGUACGCCGGAUAUGUAGCAGUUGGUUGUUCGACAGUUGAAGAGUUCGUAUCAACUUGUACUUAAUGUAUUGGUACAUUGGUAACGUAUUAAUUAUGUAGCAUGAACGAAAUCAUACUAGCGAAAGAUAUAUGUAAUUUUAAACACUUUCGCAGAAGAAGCCGGAAACUGAAUAUUGCUUGAAUAGUUUCUCGUUUCUUGACGCAUAGGCUUCAAGAAACUUGCCUCACCAAAGCACUUUGCCUAAUCUUUUUGACUCACGAGGCUCUUGAUUACGAUCCUGCCAAUAAAAUUAUAAAUAGAAUACAGUUCAUUUAUAGCAUGCAGAGGAGUGGAUUUCAUACUUGAGCCACUUGGUCAGACGUUAUCUCCUCUUCCAGCCAAUUAAGUUUAAGAGAACAUCCAAGCCAAACCGACCUCCACCAGAAAAGACAAUUAAUCGAACCACAUGAACAUUUCAUCAUCCACUAACUGCCUCUUUAAUGACGGUUGCUCGGGGUCUAGGCCAAUCCGGUCAUUUUAUAGGCCUCUAGAAAGAUCAGCGAAGACAAACAAAGAGAGACAGGGAUGGUCCAUGGGAAGGUCUACAGUAGGAGGUGGGACGCUUGUCUGCGAUACCAAGUUAUCAUCCCUUAUUUUCCGAAAAAAGUCCGAUUUAUGCGCAAUUCGGCGAAUGUGGACAGAACCAUCGGGGAAUCUUCUAGUGGAGGGUGGAUAGGAUUAUUUAAUUCUAGUGCUGCUGCCCCCAUGGAAAAACCUUGGCCUGUGGUUAUGGGAAACCCUGGUUUUAGAUUGACGAAAUUGACUCUUGGAAAAAUCUAAGGGGGGAUGAUAUCAUGGCUUAACGGAAUAGUGCCGCAGGAGACGGGUUGUUAGGUUUCUGGCACGUAGAAAGAUAUGCUGUCUUCUUUUAGCCGUAUCUUAUAUGCUUCUCAUUUUCAGAAAGGCAGAGUGAACUUAUUGUGGCCGGAGUAGCAUCGGCUAGUUCCCGCAGCAUUUGGGCUUCCAAGGGCUUAUAGCUUAAACCGUCAGCGAAGCCGGGGGUCCGGUGUUGGUAUGGUGUUACCGCGGAGGGGGAGGGGCGGCUCCAUAGGUCAAGGCAGUGGGCGGUGGAAGCCGCCAUCCACGGCACGCCAGGAAGGACCCGGGAAAGCAGCGCCAGCCGGCCAACGCGUCGCUUUCGCGCCAUCCACCGCGGCCAUCGCCCUGGGUCCCACCACCAGCCGACCUGGUUGACUCCGUGCUCGCACGUGUGUCAGAUUGUCCACGUGUGUCCUCUUUGGUGAAAAAUAAUCGCGAGGGCAUGGAUUGCCACAACUUUAGCUAGGCAUCCAUUAAACAGCAUGAAAUGGGAUGGGCAAGAUGGGCUGUGUACAUUAAUUUCUUCCAUUCUGAUGAUGUUGAUUUGAGACUAGUAUUCAUCGACCUAUUUAUUUUGCCUAGUUGAUUUGAUGGACACUGGUAACGUUUCUAACAAAACAUACCUAUCUUUGACUUUGAUGCUUUAAUAAGGGGAGUUGUAUAUAGAAAUUAGAUUACGUGCAAGACCGUCAAUUAUUAUAAGCUUAAUAUCAUAA